rnacentral:rRNA from 1 species
CAGUAGCCGCGGUAAUACGUAUGUCACGAGCGUUAUCCGGAUUUAUUGGGCGUAAAGCGCGUCUAGGUGGUUAUGUAAGUCUGAUGUGAAAAUGCAGGGCUCAACUCUGUAUUGCGUUGGAAACUGUAUAACUAGAGUACUGGAGAGGUAAGCGGAACUACAAGUGUAGAGGUGAAAUUCGUAGAUAUUUGUAGGAAUGCCGAUGGGGAAGCCAGCUUACUGGACAGAUACUGACGCUGAAGCGCGAAAGCGUGGGUAGCAAACAGGAUUAGAUACCCCGGUAGUCCCUGUCUCUUAUACA